UACGGAGGAUCCGAGCGUUAUCCGGAAUUAUUGGGUUUAAAGGGUGCGUAGGCGGCCAUUUAAGUCAGCGGUGAAAUUUUGCAGCUUAACUGUAACAGUGCCGUUGAUACUGUUUGGCUAGGGUUUGGUUGUAGUGUGCGGAAUGUGUGGUGUAGCGGUGAAAUGCUUAGAUAUCACACAGAACACCGAUUGCCAAGGCAGCACACUAAGUCAUUAUUGACGCUGAGGCACGAAAGUGUGGGGAUCAAACAGGAUUAGAUA
rnacentral:rRNA from 1 species